rnacentral:rRNA from 1 species
UACGUAGGGGGCAAGCGUUAUCCGGAUUUACUGGGUGUAAAGGGAGCGUAGACGGCGAUGCAAGCCAGAUGUGAAAGCCCGGGGCUCAACCCCGGGACUGCAUUUGGUACUGUGUGGCUGGUGUGUCGGAGAGGCAAGUGGAAUUCCUAGUGUAGCGGUGAAAUGCGUAGAUAUUAGGAGGAACACCAGUGGCGAAGGCGGCUUGCUGGACGAUGACUGACGUUGAGGCUCGAAAGCGUGGGGAGCAAACAGG